rnacentral:rRNA from 1 species
GACAGAGGGUGCAAACGUUGUUCGGAAUUACUGGGCGUAAAGCGUGUGUAGGCGGCUACGCAAGUCGGAUGUGAAAGCCCCGGGCUCAACCCGGGAAGUGCACCCGAAACUGCGUGGCUCGAGUACCGGAGAGGUUGGUGGAAUUCUCGGUGUAGAGGUGAAAUUCGUAGAUAUCGAGAGGAACACCGGUGGCGAGGGCGGCCAACUGGACGAGUACUGACGCUGAGACACGAAAGCUAGGGGAGCAAACAGG